rnacentral:rRNA from 1 species
AGAGUUUGAUCCUGGCUCAGGAUGAACGCUAGCGGCAGGCCUAAUACAUGCAAGUCGAGGGGCAGCGCAGUGCAGCAAUGCAUGGGCGGCGACCGGCAAACGGGUGCGGAACGCGUACGCAACCAACCCUGUCCCGGGGGACAGCCCGCCGAAAGGCGGAUUAACACCCCAUUGUACAGCUGGCCCGCAUGGGGCGGUUGUUAAACUGCGGGGGGCAGGACGGGCGUGCGUAGGAUUAGCUAGUUGGCGGGGUAGAGGCCCACCAAGGCGACGAUCCUUAGCUGAUGUGAGAGCAUGAUCAGCCACAUGGGCACUGAGACACGGGCCCAACUCCUACGGGAGGCAGCAGUAAGGAAUAUUGGUCAAUGGGCGGAAGCCUGAACCAGCCAUGCCGCGUGGAGGACGACGGCCCUCUGGGUUGUAAACUCCUUUUACCUGGGGCGAAAAAAGUCCAUUCUUGGGCUCUUGACGGUACCAGGGGAAUAAGCACCGGCUAACUCCGUGCCAGCAGCCGCGGUAAUACGGAGGGUGCGAGCGUUAUCCGGAUUCACUGGGUUUAAAGGGUGCGCAGGCGGGCGAUUAAGUCAGCGGUGAAAUCUGUGGGCUCAACCCACAAACUGCCGUUGAUACUAUUCGUCUUGGAUCUCGUUGAGGCUGGCGGAAUGGGGCAUGUAGCGGUGAAAUGCAUAGAUAUGCCCCGGAACACCGAUUGCGAAGGCAGCCGGCUAAGCGAGGAUCGACGCUCAGGCACGAAAGCGUGGGUAGCGAACAGGAUUAGAUACCCUGGUAGUCCACGCCCUAAACGAUGAUUACUCGACGUCCGCGAUACACUGUGGGCGUCCAAGCGAAAGCAUUAAGUAAUCCACCUGGGAAGUACGACCGCAAGGUUGAAACUCAAAGGAAUUGGCGGGGGUCCGCACAAGCGGUGGAGCAUGUGGUUUAAUUCGAUGAUACGCGAGGAACCUUACCCGGGCUAGAAUGCGACCGACGACGCCUGAAAGGGCGUUUCCCAGCAAUGGGCGGAAAGCAAGGUGCUGCAUGGUUGUCGUCAGCUCGUGCCGUGAGGUGUUGGGUUAAGUCCCGCAACGAGCGCAACCCCCAUCUCCAGUUGCCAACAGGUAACGCUGGGAACUCUGGAGAAACUGCCGCCGUAAGGCGCGAGGAAGGAGGGGACGAUGUCAAAUCAUCAUGGCCUUUAUGCCCGGGGCUACACACGUGCUACAAUGGGAAGGACAGAGGGCAGCCACCUGGCGACAGGGCGCGAAUCCCAAAAACCUUCCCUCAGUUCGGAUCGGGGUCUGCAACUCGACCCCGUGAAGCUGGAAUCGCUAGUAAUCGCAGAUCAGCAACGCUGCGGUGAAUACGUUCCCGGACCUUGCACACACCGCCCGUCAAGCCAUGAAAGCCGGGUGCACCUGAAGUCGGUAACCGCAAGGAUCCGCCUAGGGUGAAACUGGUAAUUGGGGCUAAGUCGUAACAAGGUAGCCGUACCGGAAGGUGCGGCUG